AAGUUGUGACACCUUUCCAUCCUGUGGAGAAGCAAAUAAAAAAUAACUAACUAAUUGGAAAUAAGAUUAAGAUGAAACAACCAAUUAUUCAAGCUCAAGCCCAAAGCAUUCAAAAGCACAUGUAGGAACAGUUUUCUUUUAUCUGUACUCAUAUAAAUAAUGUGUACGUCCCAGCAUGUGCCAAAAAAACCAGAUCAGAAAUUCAAGGUGAAUGACUCGAUUUAAUUUGACAAUAAUAUUGCAACAAACUCUGAUACUCCGAUCCUUCAUUUUGCACUGUUGUCCCCGUGUCGACAUGACAUGACAUGGAAUAUGUGUCCAACACAAUUCAUACAGUCGGACACUCGAGUGAAUGAGAUCUCUCAAGAUGAAAAGCAU
rnacentral:misc_RNA from 1 species